rnacentral:rRNA from 1 species
AGCGAUUAGGAUGAAGUUUUCGGAUGGAUUCCUGGUUGACUGAGUGGCGGACGGGUGAGUAACGCGUGGAUAACCUGCCUCACACUGGGGGAUAACAGUUAGAAAUGGCUGCUAAUACCGCAUAAGCGCACAGUACCGCAUGGUACGGUGUGAAAAACCCAGGUGGUGUGAGAUGGAUCCGCGUCUGAUUAGCCAGUUGGCGGGGUAACGGCCCACCAAAGCGACGAUCAGUAGCCGACCUGAGAGGGUGACCGGCCACAUUGGGACUGAGACACGGCCCAAACUCCUACGGGAGGCAGCAGUGGGGAAUAUUGCACAAUGGGCGGAAGCCUGAUGCAGCGACGCCGCGUGAGUGAAGAAGUAUCUCGGUAUGUAAAGCUCUAUCAGCAGGGAAGAAAAUGACGGUACCUGACUAAGAAGCCCCGGCUAACUACGUGCCAGCAGCCGCGGUAAUACGUAGGGGGCAAGCGUUAUCCGGAUUUACUGGGUGUAAAGGGAGCGUAGACGGCGACGCAAGUCUGGAGUGAAAGCCCGGGGCCCAACCCCGGGACUGCUUUGGAAACUGUGCUGCUGGAGUGCAGGAGAGGUAAGUGGAAUUCCUAGUGUAGCGGUGAAAUGCGUAGAUAUUAGGAGGAACACCAGUGGCGAAGGCGGCUUACUGGACUGUAACUGACGUUGAGGCUCGAAAGCGUGGGGAGC